CUCGUCAUGCGUCAACGGUACGGGUUCGAGGGCUUUCCGGGUCCUCCCCGGCGGGUGGCGCGGGGAUCGGUUCCGGCCUGAUCGCCGAGGCC
rnacentral:tRNA from 1 species